AUGGAGCUGAUCGGCAUCAUUAUCACUUUGGCAUUUCUGCUCUCAUUUGCAGCGUCUGAUCGCCAAGGUGAUGCAUUAUAUGAUAUGAAGCUGAAGCUGAAUGCUACUGGCACACAGCUUACAGACUGGAAUCAAAAUCAAGUUAACCCUUGCACUUGGAAUUCUGUUAUUUGUGACAGUAACAAUAAUGUCGUGCAAGUAACAUUGGCUUCUAUGGGGUUCACUGGAGUUCUGUCGCCAAGAAUUGGAGACCUCGAGCAUUUGAAUGUUCUGUCCUUACCUGGUAACAAGAUUACCGGUACCAUACCAGAGCAGCUUGGGAACCUAUCUAGUUUGACAAGCUUAGAUUUGGAAGAAAAUCUGCUGGUUGGAGAAAUCCCAGCUUCUCUUGGCCAUCUUUCGAAGCUCCAACUCUUGAUACUAAGUCAAAACAGACUAAGUGGAACUGUUCCUGAUACACUGGCAACCAUCUCAAGCUUGACAGACAUUCGGUUGGCCUACAAUAAUCUCUCCGGUCCAAUACCUGCUCAACUAUUUCAAGUUGCACGUUACAACUUUUCUGGCAAUAACUUGACUUGUGGAGCAAACUUCGCUCAUCCUUGUGCAUCAAGUUCGCCUUACCAAGGUUCAUCCCGUGGUUCGAAAAUAGGCGUUGUCCUUGGAACAGUUGGUGGAGUGAUAGGGCUGCUCAUCAUAGGGGCUCUGUUUAUUAUCUGUAAUGGAAGGAGAAAAGGUCAUCUGCGUGAAGUUUUUGUGGAUGUAUCAGGUGAGGAUGACCGAAGAAUUGCAUUUGGGCAGUUGAAAAGGUUUGCAUGGCGAGAAUUACAACUCGCUACUGAUAACUUCAGUGAGAAAAAUGUUCUUGGACAAGGGGGCUUUGGAAAAGUAUAUAAAGGAGCACUUCCAGAUGGCACUAAGAUAGCCGUAAAGCGGUUAACUGAUUAUGAAAGUCCUGGUGGGGAGGCUGCCUUCCUGCGUGAAGUUGAGCUGAUUAGUGUUGCAGUUCACCGGAAUCUUUUAAGAUUGAUUGGGUUCUGUACAACACAAACGGAACGUCUACUUGUUUAUCCUUUCAUGCAGAAUCUUAGCGUAGCCUACCGUUUGCGAGAAUUUAAACCUGGGGAACCAAUAUUAGAUUGGAACGCAAGGAAACGAGUGGCUAUAGGCACAGCGCGUGGACUGGAGUACCUGCACGAGCACUGCAAUCCUAAGAUCAUACACCGUGAUGUCAAGGCCGCGAAUGUCUUGCUUGAUGAAGGUUUCGAACCAGUUGUGGGCGACUUUGGCUUGGCAAAGUUGGUGGAUGUACAGAAGACAUCUGUGACCACUCAAGUCCGAGGGACUAUGGGUCACAUUGCACCAGAAUAUCUGUCCACAGGGAAGUCAUCUGAGAGAACAGAUGUUUUCGGCUAUGGUAUAAUGCUUCUUGAAGUGGUCACCGGGCAGCGCGCCAUUGACUUUUCACGUCUGGAGGAAGAAGAUGACGUGCUGUUACUUGAUCAUGUGAAGAAGCUACAAAGAGAAGGGAAUCUAGACGCCAUCGUGGAUCGCAACCUGAACAACAGCUUCGACAGGCAGGAGGUGGAGAUGAUGAUGCAGAUCGCGCUGCUGUGCACCCAGGGGUCGCCCGAGGACCGGCCCUCCAUGUCGGAGGUGGUAAGGAUGCUGGAAGGGGAAGGCCUGGCGGAGCGGUGGGAGGAGUGGCAGCAGGUGGAGGUGACGAGGAGGGAGGACUACGAGCGGAUGCAGCAGCGGUUCGACUGGGGCGAAGACUCCAUCUACAACCAGGACGCCAUCGAACUGUCCGCCGGCAGAUAA
rnacentral:rRNA from 1 species